GCGGGCAUAGCUCAGGGGUAGAGCAUCAGCUUCCCAAGCUGAGGGCCGUGGGUUCGAUUCCCAUUGCCCGCU
rnacentral:tRNA from 1 species